rnacentral:rRNA from 1 species
UACGAAGGGGGCUAGCGUUGUUCGGAAUUACUGGGCGUAAAGCGCACGUAGGCGGAUUGGCAAGUCAGGGGUGAAAUCCCGGAGCUCAACUCCGGAACUGCCUUUGAUACUGCCAGUCUAGAGUCCGGAAGAGGUGGGUGGAAUUCCUAGUGUAGAGGUGAAAUUCGCAGAUAUUAGGAAGAACACCGGUGGCGAAGGCGGCCCACUGGUCCGGUACUGACGCUGAGGUGCGAAAGCGUGGGGAGCAAACAGG